GGAGGGGCCAUGGCUCAGUGGUAGAGCAUCUGCUUGGUAUGUAGAAGGUCUCAGGUUCAAUUACCAACAUUUCUA
rnacentral:tRNA from 1 species